rnacentral:rRNA from 1 species
AUUGAACUCUGGCGGCAGGCCUAACACAUGCAAGUCGAGCGAGCGGCGGACGGGUGAGUAAUUUAUGGGGACUUCCCGAUAGAGGGGGAUAACUACUGGAAACGGUUGCUAAUACCGCCUACUAUCGGAUAACCCAUAUGGGAUUCGCUAGUAGGUGGGGUAAAGGCUCACCUAGGCGACGAUCUCUAGCUGGUCUGAGAGGAUGAGCAUACACACUGGGACUGAGACACGGUCGAGAAUACAACGGAAGCAGCAGUAGGGAAUAUUGCACAAUGGGCGAAAGCAUGAUGCAGCCACGCCGCGUGUAUUAAGAAGGCCUUAGGGUUGGAAAGUACUUUAAGAGGGGAAGCGUUACCCGCAGAAGAAGAACCGGCUAACGCCGUGCCAGCAGCCGCGGUAAUUA